AUUGAACGCUGGCGGCAUGCCUAACACAUGCAAGUCGAACGAGUGGCGGACGGGUGAGUAAUGUCUGGGAAACUGCCUGAUGGAGGGGGAUAACUACUGGAAAAGGUAGCUAAUACCGCAUACCAUCAGAUGUGCCCAGAUGGGAUUUGCAUGUUGGUGGGGUAACGCCUCACCAAUGCGACGAUCCCUAGCUGGUCUGAGAGGAUGACCAGCCACACGGGAACUGAGACACGGGCCAGACGCCUACGGGAGGCAGCAGUGGGGAAUAGUGCACAAUGGUCGCAAGCCUGAUGCAGCCAUGCCGCGUGUAUGAAGAAGGCCUUCGGGUUGUAAAGUACUUUCAGCGGGGAGGCGUUACCCGCAGAAGAAGCACCGGCUAACUCCGUGCCAGCCGCCGCGGUAAUUC
rnacentral:rRNA from 1 species